UUUGGGAGGCUAAGGCAGGAGGAUCACUUGAGCCCAGGAAUUUGAGACCAGUCUGGGCAACAAAGGGAGACCCCCAUCUCUACAAAAA
rnacentral:miRNA from 10 species